UACGUAGGGUGCGAGCGUUGUCCGGAAUUACUGGGCGUAAAGAGCACGUAGGCGGGAAACUAAGUCAGGUGUGAAAGACCGUGGCUCAACCACGGGGUGGCAUUUGAAACUGGGUUUCUUGAGGGCAGGAGAGGAAAGCAGAAUUCCUGGUGUAGCGGUGAAAUGCGUAGAAAUCAGGAGGAAUACCAGUGGCGAAGGCGGCUUUCUGGACUGACCCUGACGCUGAGGUGCGAAAGCGUGGGUAGCAAACAGGAUUAGAUACCCGCGUAGUCCCUGAG
rnacentral:rRNA from 1 species